rnacentral:rRNA from 1 species
CGCAGCUAUCAUGCAGUCGAGGGGCAGCACAGGUAGCAAUACUGGGUGGCGACCGGCAAACGGGUGCGGAACACGUACGUAACCUUCCUCUAAAUGGAGCAUAGCCCGAAGAAAUUCGGAUUAAUACUCCAUAAGAUUGUAGAGUGGCAUCACUCAGCAAUUAAAGAAAUUCGUUUAGAGAUGGGCGUGCGGCUGAUUAGGUAGUUGGUGAGGUAACGGCUCACCAAGCCGACGAUCAGUAACUGGCGUGAGAGCGCGACCAGUCACACGGGCACUGAGACACGGGCCCGACUCCUACGGGAGGCAGCAGUAAGGAAUAUUGGUCAAUGGACGCAAGUCUGAACCAGCCAUGCCGCGUGAAGGAUGAAGGUCCUCUGGAUUGUAAACUUCUUUUAUAUGGGAAGAAAUCACUUUUAUCUAAAGGUGUUGACGGUACCAUAGGAAUAAGCACCGGCUAACUCCGUGCCAGCAGCCGCGGUAAUACGGAGGGUGCAAGCGUUAUCCGGAUUCACUGGGUUUAAAGGGUGCGUAGGCGGAUUAGUAAGUCCGUGGUGAAAUCUCCGAGCUUAACUCGGAAACUGCCGUGGAUACUAUUAAUCUUGAAUGUUGUGGAGGUUAGCGGAAUAUGUCAUGUAGCGGUGAAAUGCUUAGAUAUGACAUAGAACACCAAUUGCGAAGGCAGCUGGCUACACAAAUAUUGACGCUGAGGCACGAAAGCGUGGGGAUCAAACAGGAUUAGAUACCCUGGUAGUCCACGCCCUAAACGAUGAUUACUCGACAUUUGCGAUAUACAGUAAGUGUCUGAGCGAAAGCAUUAAGUAAUCCACCUGGGAAGUACGACCGCAAGGUU